CCUGGUUGAUCCUGCCAGUAGUCAUAUGCUUGUCUCAAAGAUUAAGCCAUGCAUGUCUCAGUACAAGCCGCAUUAAGGCGAAACCGCGAAUGGCUCAUUAAAUCAGUUAUGGUUCCUUAGAUCUUACACUUUUUACAUGGAUAACUGUGGUAAUUCUAGAGCUAAUACAUGAAACUAGUACCCCGACUUUACGGAAGGGGUGCUUUUAUUAGAACAAAACCAAUCGGUCGGCUUGUCCGUCCGUUGCCUUGGUGACUCUGAAUAACUUUGGGCUGAUCGCACGGUCCUAGCACCGGCGACGCAUCUUUCAAAUGUCUGCCUUAUCAACUGUCGAUGGUAGGUUCUGCGCCUACCAUGGUUGUAACGGGUGACGGGGAAUCAGGGUUCGAUUCCGGAGAGGGAGCCUGAGAAACGGCUACCACAUCCAAGGAAGGCAGCAGGCGCGCAAAUUACCCACUCCCGGCACGGGGAGGUAGUGACGAAAAAUAACGAUACGGGACUCAUCCGAGGCCCCGUAAUCGGAAUGAGAACACUUUAAAUCCUUUAACGAGGAUCUAUUGGAGGGCAAGUCUGGUGCCAGCAGCCGCGGUAAUUCCAGCUCCAAUAGCGUAUAUUAAAGUUGUUGCGGUUAAAAAGCUCGUAGUCGGAGGUGUGUCUCGGGCGGUCGGUUCGCCGCUUGUCGGUGCUCAACUGGCCGGUCCGGACGUCCUGCCGGUGGGGCUGUAAAAGGCUCCGUUAUCCUUCUUUGGUCCUCUUCAUUGAGUGCCUUGGUGGGCCGGCACGUUUACUUUGAACAAAUUAGAGUGCUCAAAGGAGGCCGUUGGUCGCCUGAAUACUGUGUGCAUGGAAUAAUGGAAUAGUACCUCGGUUCCAUUUUGUUGGUUUUCAGAACUCGACACCCCUGCGGGUAGGGGGAUGGAGAAUACUCCCUCGGCAUUUCGGCCUGGCGCAAAAGACGACUAAUCGGGCGGGGAGAAAACCCCGAAAACAAACCCCAUGAUCAGCAAGGGCUGAGCCUGGACAGUGAUGUGGAUCAGCUGUCUGUGUGUGGUCAUGCCAGCUGACCAAUGAUCCACCCAGGUGUUUGCCGUGCGUGGAGACCUGUAAGGAGGAGAAGGGUGUCCUGGAGGUUGAGUGCCAACCAUUGGCACAACACACCUCUUUGGCCCCGGAUUCGCCGUAAACGGGAGGCAAGGGAGUAGCUCACACUGGUCAAUCGACUUCUGGUGGCUGGGGAAAUUUCCUUUCGAGUGUACACCAGAUGUGUGCGAGUCUGCUGUGUGUCCCAUAAGUGGUGUGUGUGGAGGGAGAUGGAUGGGUGGGGGGUUGGAGGGCCCCUCUUGCCAGAAAUCUUGCC
rnacentral:rRNA from 1 species